rnacentral:rRNA from 1 species
UACGUAGGGGGCAAGCGUUAUCCGGAUUUACUGGGUGUAAAGGGAGCGUAGACGGUGAUGCAAGUCAGAAGUGAAAGCCCGGGGCUCAACUCCGGGACUGCUUUUGAAACUGUGUGACUGGAGUGCAGGAGAGGUAAGCGGAAUUCCUGGUGUAGCGGUGAAAUGCAUAGAUAUCACGCAGAACUCCGAUCGCGAAGGCAGCCUACCGGCGCGCUACUGACGCUCAUGCACGAAAGCGUGGGUAUCGAACAGG